rnacentral:rRNA from 1 species
GAUGAACGCUGGCGGCGUGCCUAACACAUGCAAGUCGAGCGAUCUCUUCGGAGAGAGCGGCGGACGGGUGAGUAACGCGUGGGUAACCUGCCCUGUACACACGGAUAACAUACCGAAAGGUAUGCUAAUACGGGAUAACAUAUAAAAGUCGCAUGGCUUUUUUAUCAAAGCUUUUGCGGUACAGGAUGGACCCGCGUCUGAUUAGCUAGUUGGUAAGGUAAUGGCUUACCAAGGCAACGAUCAGUAGCCGACCUGAGAGGGUGAUCGGCCACACUGGAACUGAGACACGGUCCAGACUCCUACGGGAGGCAGCAGUGGGGAAUAUUGCACAAUGGGCGAAAGCCUGAUGCAGCAACGCCGCGUGAGCGAUGAAGGCCUUCGGGUCGUAAAGCUCUGUCCUCAAGGAAGAUAAUGACGGUACUUGAGGAGGAAGCCCCGGCUAACUACGUGCCAGCCGCCGCGGUAAAAC